GAUGAACGCUGGCGGCGUGCCUAAUACAUGCAAGUCGAGCGAACGGACGAGAAGCUUGCUUCUCUGAUGUUAGCGGCGGACGGGUGAGUAACACGUGGAUAACCUACCUAUAAGACUGGGAUAACUUCGGGAAACCGGAGCUAAUACCGGAUGAUAUUUUGAACCGCAUGGUUCAAAAGUGAAAGACGGUCUUGCUGUCGCUUAUAGAUGGAUCCGCGCUGCAUUAGCUAGUUGGUAAGGUAACGGCUUACCAAGGCAACGUUGCAUAGCCGACCUGAGAGGGUGAUCGGCCACACUGGAACUGAGACACGGUCCAGACUCCUACGGGAGGCAGCAGUAGGGAAUCUUCCGCAAUGGGCGAAAGCCUGACGGAGCAACGCCGCGUGAGUGAUGAAGGUCUUCGGAUCGUAAAACUCUGUUAUUAGGGAAGAACAUAUGUGUAAGUAACUGUGCACAUCUUGACGGUACCUAAUCAGAAAGCCACGGCUAACUACGUG
rnacentral:rRNA from 1 species